rnacentral:tRNA from 1 species
GGGGACUUAGCUCAGUGGUGCAGCACCUACCUGGCAAGUGUGAGGCCCUGAGUUCAAUUCCCUGGACCCCA